rnacentral:rRNA from 1 species
ACGCUCGACACCUACGGGAGCAGCAGUGGGGAAUAUUGCACAAUGGGGGAAACCCUGAUGCAGCAACGCCGCGUGAAGGAAGACGGUUUUCGGAUUGUAAACUUCUGUUCUUAGUGAAGAUAGUGACGGUAGCUAAGGAGCAAGCCACGGCUAACUACGCGCCAACAGCCGCGGUAAUCUGAGCGGGCUGGCAAGGC